AACCUAGCACACCUGCGGUGUGUACCUGCGGAAGGAUCAUUAUUGAUAAAGGAUGUGCUGGCAUUGAUAAUUUCUCAAUGCAAAUGUGCACUCCAAAUCUUCCAUUUCACCACCGUGCAUCUAUGAGGUUAGAGGGGUUAUUUGCUAAAGUAACCCUAACUAACUAACCUCUUUUAUAACUUGCAACCUAAACUAACUUUACUUGGAGAUGUGUUGUAAAUUUUGUAACAACUUUUAACA
rnacentral:misc_RNA from 1 species